UGAUGUUGCAAGUAGGAACUAAAUGAGCUCGUGUUAUAAAAAAAUGUGUCUAGAGCUGUUUCAGAACAAAUGUUUUCUUUGUUCCAUGUUCAUCUCAAAGACAUACAUUGAAAUUGUUGGAAAUAAUCCAAGUCUCACAUCGGCUAAAAGUAAUUCUACACUAAAAUAUAUAAGUGAGGGGCAACCCUCACCCCUUGAGCAAGCUUUUGGGAUUGAGUUAGGCCUUUCACAUUAUUUAUUCUAAGAUGGUAUUAGAGUCAAUUCUGAUCUUGGGACUACGCUUCCGCUAGUCCUCGCUUUGUGGUGACAAACACCCACCCCUGACUCUGACUGAUCUUGUGUUAGAGAGUUAUAGUUUACACCACACUUGGUGAGAGUUGAGACAAAUUGUAAGUCAUCCUUGUUGGAUGAAGUUGAGAGAUAUUUUGUCCCGUGGUUUUUACCUUUCACAUUGAAAGGGUUUUCCACGCUAAGUUAUUUUGUCCCGUGCCUAUUUUGAGUCUAUAGAGAGGAAAAUAAUGCUAGUAUUCUCCAAUAGAUUUAUAGCUCAUUCAAGCGAGAAGUGAAGUUUAGAAACUCAUCCUCCUU
rnacentral:lncRNA from 1 species